UACGUAGGGGGCAAGCGUUGUCCGGAAUCAUUGGGCGUAAAGAGCGCGUAGGCGGCCCUGUCAGUCCGCUGUGAAAGUCAGAGGCUCAACCUCUGGAUGCCGGUGGAUACUGCAGGGCUAGAGUCCGGAAGAGGCGAGUGGAAUUCCUGGUGUAGCGGUGAAAUGCGCAGAUAUCAGGAGGAACACCGGUGGCGAAGGCGCUCAUCUGGCCCGAUACUGACGCUGAGGCGCGAAAGCUAGGGUAGCGAACGGG
rnacentral:rRNA from 1 species